rnacentral:rRNA from 1 species
AUUAACGCUGGCCGCGUGCCUAAUACCUGCAAGUCGAGCGAACAGACGAGGAGCUUGCUCCUCUAACGUUAGCGGCGGCCGGGUGAGUAACACGUGGAUAACCUACCUAUAAGACUGGGAUAACUUCGGGAAACCGGAGCUAAUACCGGAUAAUAUAUUGAACCGCAUGGUUCAAUAGUGAAAGACGGUUUUGCUGUCACUUAUAGAUGGAUCCGCGCCGCAUUAGCUAGUUGGUAAGGUAACGGCUUACCAAGGCAACGAUGCGUAGCCGACCUGAGAGGGUGAUCGGCCACACUGGAACUGAGACACGGUCCAGACUCCUACGGGAGGCAGCAGUAGGGAAUCUUCCGCAAUGGGCGAAAGCCUGACGGAGCAACGCCGCGUGAGUGAUGAAGGUCUUCGGAUCGUAAAACUCUGUUAUUAGGGAAGAACAAAUGUGUAAGUAACUAUGCACGUCUUGACGGUACCUAAUCAGAAAGCCACGGCUAACUACGUG